ACACUCUCUUCUUCUUCUUUUGGCCUCUGAUCAUUUGAGGAAGGUGCUUCCCUCACUUUGGUUCAGUUAAGAUUUUCAGCUUCUGAGCAUCCUAUACUGGUGUUAUUGCAGCAGAACCAGUUGACUGUGUUUGGUGGAGAACAAAAAAGGUAACCAUGAAGAUCCAGCUUGUUGCUGUCCUGCUCCUUACUCCACCUGCAAUGAAGAUCAAUGCGGCUCUGGACUUCUACCAGAAACAUUUUGUUAAUAACAUGACAUCCGAAAAGUGCAAUGACGAAAUGGCCAAAUUAAAUGGACAUGCAAAAACAUGCAAAAACAUAAAUACCUUCUUCUUGGCUACUCCUGAUAUCAUAAAGGGAAUCUGUAAAAGGAAUCAAGAGUGUGGAACAUUAAGACUACCCAAUCUUAAGAUAAUUGAUUGUAAACGUAUACCAGAAGCUAAAACAUGCAAAUACACUGGUGUUGAGGGUGAAGCAACUAGAGUUACAGUCUUAUGUAAAAACGGUAAGCCUUAUCACUUGGCUGAGGUAUGGAAAAAAAUGAUCUAAUAUUCCUAUUGGUUUUGCUCGUUUUAUUAAAUGCUGAAUAUAAUUUCUGUACAAGCAGUUGCUUUUUUCUUUCCUCAGUACAUUUUCUUUGACCUAUUACUAUACUAUACUAUACUAUACUAUACUAUACUAUACUAUACUAUACUAUACUAUACUAUACUAUACUAUACUAUACUAUACUAUACUAUACUAUACUAUACUAUACUAUACUAUACUAUAGUAAUUAUUUGCUGCAUUUGAAAAAAACCUUGGCAUACAAUAAAAAUGUAAAGCAAGAAUGUAACCACCAGAAUGGUCUUUGUUAGAGUUAUUGAAUGAUAAUUAUAAAAUUAUUGUGUGGGCAUAUGAAACAUUUAAGAAAAAUUAUGCUACAUUUCUGUCCUGUGAUUCAAUCAGGAGGGUCAUAAACUUUUAUGACCUGCAUCCAGUAGGUCAUGAGGCAGAGUCACACGGUUGUGUGACUUCCAUCCAGCCAGAUGGUCAUUUCACACCUGCAUCCUGCCAGAUAAUCAUUACUGGGUUUUCUGUUUAAGACCCGCCCUAUUAUGUUGUAAACUGUUAAUAAAAGGCUUUGCUGUGAAGGGAUCUGAGAGAAAAGGUGCUGGUUGUUAGCCAGCAGUUCUUCUCCCCUACUGCAGAGGCUGACGUUACAAAA